rnacentral:rRNA from 1 species
CAUGGCUCAGAACGAACGCUGGCGGCGCGCCUAACACAUGCAAGUCGAACGAGAAUCCGGGGCAACCCGGUAGUAAAGUGGCAAACGGGUGAGGAAUACAUGGGUAACCUACCCUUGAGAAGGGAAUAACCCGCCGAAAGGUGAGCUAAUACCCUAUACGCUAUCUUUUUUUCGAAAAGGAUAGGAAAGCCGGGUCGAGGACCUGGUACUCAAGGAGGGGCUCAUGUCCUAUCAGCUUGUUGGUGGGGUAACGGCCUACCAAGGCUACGACGGGUAGCUGGUCUGAGAGGAUGAUCAGCCACACUGGCACUGAGAUACGGGCCAGGCUCCUACGGGAGGCAGCAGUGAGGAAUAUUGCGCAAUGGGCGAAAGCCUGACGCAGCGACGCCGCGUGGGGGAUGAAGGUUUUCGGAUUGUAAACCCCUUUCAUGAGGAAGAUAAAGUGGGUAACCACUUAGACGGUACCUCAAGAAGAAGCCACGGCUAACUUCGUG